rnacentral:rRNA from 1 species
UACGAAGGGUGCAAGCGUUACUCGGAAUUACUGGGCGUAAAGCGUGCGUAGGUGGUUUGUUAAGUCUGUUGUGAAAUCCCCGGGCUCAACCUGGGAAUUGCGAUGGAGACUGCAAGGCUAGAAUCUGGCAGAGGGGGGGUAGAAUUCCACGUGUAGCAGUGAAAUGCGUAGAGAUGUGGAGGAACACCGAUGGCGAAGGCAGCCCCCCUGGGUCAAGAUUGACGCUCAUGCACGAAAAGCGUGGGGGAGCAAACAGG